AUUAUUAUUAUUAUUAUUAUUAUUAUUAUUAUUAUUAUUAUUAGUAGUAGUAGUAGUAGUAGUAGUAGUAUCCUCUUUAUGUGUCUUGUAGAUUUAUGAAAAUAAAAUAGAGCAUUACCUAUAUUUUUGUGGGAAGGAAGGUGUAUAUCUGGUAAAUUGAAUAAACAAAAUAAUCUUAAAUGCACAGACUUACAUGUAUAUAUUUUCAUGUGUAUAUUUCUGGUGGGUGGUUAUUGGGUUUCUUAUCAGAGUCUGUCCUUUAAAUUCAGUAUCUAUACUGCUAAAGCUUAUCUCAAAAUAUAUUCAGUUUUAUAGACAACCCAUUUGAAGUUUGUUCUAAAAUCUAGAGUGAAUACACUGCGUAAUACAUUGAAACACGGAGAGACUUAACAUCUAACAUUUGUCAUUCCUUCUGUAUAUGGCUGCCCCAAAUCUUUUGCAGAUAAAAGUAUUUUAUUUUCCAUUACAACAGGAGAAUAAAAGCCAGAUUCCUGCUGUUUAGUUUUGUGAUUCAUUGCUCGUUGGUAAUAUUAUUUAUGGCUAGUGGAAUUCUAUUAUUGUUAAAUCUUCUAUAUAUAGUUUUUCUUGUGGAUCAUAAGAAGAAGGAAGGUCAAUGGAUAAUCUAGGACACAACUCCUAAAAGUCCUGCUGGCAGGAGAUCUAGAAAUGGAAAACACCCAGCUGCUACCAGCAAAUUCAGUAUUAUCUUGAGAAUCGGCUUCAUCAUGGGAGGGGCUAGAGUACAAAGCUUCAGUAAUGAACAGAUUCUGUCCCAGUAUUUGAAUGGUCUUACAGAGAGAGAAGCAGAAGUCCAGGAGAUGGAGACUGCCGCUGGCAUGGAGAAAGAAGAUGGCUACCAAUGAAAAUAUGGACACCAUGAGGGGACCACAGGAGCUACCCAGAAGCAAGGUAACAUCCAAGUUUCUUACCACACUCUUAUCGGAAGAAAGAGCUCCACCUUUUCUCUUCAUCCUGUAGGUGGUGAUGCCAAUCAAAGUCGCCAAGAACAUGACUGACAACAAAACGGAGUUGAAGAUGUAGUAUGUUCGAAGAGCUUCAGGAAUGGUUUCAGGCAGCUUGGCGAGCACUCCAAAUGAGAUCAUCACCCCAAAAGUUGCUGAAAUGGCCAAAGCCCCUAAAAUUAGUCCCACAAAAGCCCCACUGAGGUGGAAGUGUGCCUUCUGGCCUAUUGGGGGCUUCUGGUGAUGGCCUUCCCUGCCAGUGUUCUUCCAAAUGAUAUACAACAUUGUAGAAGAGAAGAGGCUGAACUCAAUGUUGAAGGGAUGCAGGUAGGCAGCACCCUCCGAAAAGCUGUGGCACAGGCUGGUGAUACAAAUGCAGCUGUUGGUGCUGGGGCUGCCUGGAGAAAAACCAGGAAGAAAGUAGCAGGUAUCCUUUCUGUUGGUACUGCAACAACAAAUGAUCUCCGAAGUUGUAUUAUUAUUAACAGCACUUCCAUUUAUACAUUACCUUUCCCCAAAAUCUGGGAUUCCAGGUGCCUUACAAAUUAAAGCGAGAAUGCAAAGGAAUCUUGUAACAUUUUAGGGUGCAUCAGAAUUAAUGCAGUUUGACAUGAUUUUAACUGCUAUGCAUCAAUGUUAUGGAGUCAUGAGGGUUGUAGUUUUACGAAGUCUUUCGCUGUCCCUACUGAAGAUUGCUAGUGCUUCACCAAACUAUCAAUCCUAGGAUUCCAUAGCAUUGAGGCAUGGCGGUUAAAGUGGUGCCAAACUACCAUACAUUAAUUAUACAGUUUCAAUGCACCCUAUGGAAGCAUAUGGUACCAACUUCACUUUCUCAGUUUGAUUCUAAGGUGCUAUGAAAUGCCUUUGCAUACUAAGAUGGCUAUGGCUUUAAUUUAAAAUAAAUACAAUAUAAUUAAGAACAUAAACAUUAAAACAGAAUCACAAUAUUUGCAAUACUGAAACAAUUUAAAAAACCCAACUAAGCAGUAAUAUAGCAUGUUGUGAAAAGCUCUUUCUUUAAAAGCUUUACUUUAGUUCUAAAAUAAGUCCAAGGAAAAACCGUAAGGAGAGGGCUAUUCUGAUCUUCUUGGAAAAGGAGUUUGAGUGAGGUCAGUCACUAAGAAAUUCGUGUCUCACAUCCCUACCAACCAUGCCUGUGAAAGUGGUAGUAUUGAGGGAGGCCUCUCCUGAGGGCAUUAAGUGCUGGGAAGGCUCAUAUGGAGAUAUGCAGUUUUGAUUUGGAGAGAUGCCUAUCCUUUCCCAUUAAGAGUGCAGACCUUUCCUGUUUUUUUUAUUAUUAAUGGAAGUCCCUGAGGGUUGGAUUUGGUGGCCCUUGUGGUCUCUUCCAACUCUAGUAGCUGGAUGGGAGCCUGCCAACAAAUACCAGGUAUUGCGGGCUAUAUUUCGGGGGGGAAAUUGGCAAAGCCAUCUUUAAGGAUUCCUCACAUAAGAAAACUAUGAAAUUCAUAGGGUUGCCAAGUUAACUGGUGACUGGAAAGUUGAUCAUAUUUUAGAAUUUGGCAAAUCCUGUAGUCUGUCAUUGUCCUUUUACAGACCUCUACCACUUGCUGAGAACAUCAUGACAGAAUGGUUUGAGCACUGAACUACAAUUCUGGGAACAAGAGUUCAAAUUCCUGCCUAGCCGUGGAAACCCAUUUGAUGACUUUGGAAUAGCCUGACUGUCAGUCUCAGAAAACAUCAUGGGCAACAGCUUUAUGAACAACUCUUGCCAUGAAAAUGCCAUGAUUAUGUUGUGUUAGAGUCGCCAUAAAUUGAAAAUAACUGAAAGGUACACAAGAACAACUGUUCAUUGCUUUCCUCUCCCCAAUAAGAAAUAUAGACGGUACCAUGAGGAAUCUGAGGGCUAUCUCCCUUCUGAGCAUCAUAAAAUUCUUCUAGCUGCUUCAUAGAUUCAUCCAGCACCACACUCAUCCACAGGAGCACAUUAGUAGCCAAAGUAUGCAUCAACCCAAACCUAGAAAUUAAAGAUAAAUAAAGAAUCUAGUUAUGUGCUGUGUUAUGUGCUUUUGAAAGAUAUUCUGUCAUUUUACAGUUGUGAUGGUUCAAAAUUCGGACUGACUUCUAGUCACCAACUCAACUACACUAUUAUUCUCUCAGACUUUAUUAACAAUUCAUGCUGUCAUUUUACAGAGCCUGCCCAUCAGGCAGAGUGCAACCAAUACAUCUGCAGAACAUGGUGGAAAUGGGAGAGCAGUGGCGAGAGACCUUGCAGCUAUUCCUGCUGUAAUUCCCAGCUCAUUCCCAUUUUCCAAAGGUUGCUGUGACCAAGCCAUUGACAUCUCUGACCCAUUCCCUGUUCAGGUAUCAGCCAGCACGCCAGCACCUUAAAUAAAGAAAUAGUUUUCUAAGAUCUACAGAGAUACCUUCAGGAACACCCCAGCAAGUGAGAGUCCAAAAGUGGCAGGCUAAAACCAGGAAAUCAAUCAGCAGCUGAUGCCGGAUGAGAGACUCCCUCCUGGACACACAGAAGACUGGGUGACAUUGAGGAUGCUGAACAGAUUGUGCUCGGGCACCACGAGAUGCAGAGCCAACCUUAAGAAAUGGUGGAAUCCACGACAUGCGAGUGUGGAGAAGAGUAAACCAUAGACCACCCACUACAAUGCAGUCUGAGCCCUGCCACAUGCACAAUGGAAGACUUUCUUAUAGCAACACCAGAGGAACUCCAAGUGGCCAGUACUGGUCAAAGGACAUUUCGUAUAAUGCCAAGUGUUGUUUAACUUUGUUUGUGUUUUCAAAUACAUUAUAACUUGUGCCCUAGGUUCGCUUCUGACAUAAAUAAAUAAUUCUAG